CUUAGAUGGAAAUGAGUGUUAUCGAGGAAAUGGUUUUAGACUUGUGGUGACGAAGAGCAAGGCCGAGAAGGACUCCAACAAGCCCAAGCGCCCUCUGAGCGCCGUCUUAGUCCUCAUGGACAGCUUCAGGAAGGACUCCAACUUCAAGCAUGUCCCCA